CAGAGAGCUAGGUUGGACAGAGAGCUAGGUUGGACAGAGAGCUAGGUUGGACAGAGAGCUAGGUGGGACAGAGAGCUAGGUUGGACAGAGAGCUAGGUUGGACAGAGAGCUAGGUCGGACAGAGAGCUAGGUUGGACAGAGAGCUAGGUUGGACAGAGAGCUAGGUGGGACAGAGAGCUAGGUUGGACAGAGAGCUAGGUUGGACAGAGAGCUAGGUUGGAUAAAGAGUAUAGAGAGUUCAACAUUGUUCACUAUAAAACAGUAUAACACUACAAGUAACACUAUAAGUAUAUUAACCACAUGUAUGAUAUGUUAUAUACAGAGGAUGGUCCAUUGAUCUGUAUUUUCAGUUAUAGACAUGUUAUUA
ensembl:lncRNA